GGCGGCAGGCCUAAUACAUGCAAGUCGAACGGAUCCUUCGGGAUUAGUGGCGGACGGGUGAGUAACACGUGGGAACGUGCCCUUUGGUUCGGAACAACUCAGGGAAACUUGAGCUAAUGCCGGAUGUGCCCUUCGGGGGAAAGAUUUAUCGCCAUUGGAGCGGCCCGCGUCUGAUUAGCUAGUUGGUGGGGUAAAGGCCCACCAAGGCGACGAUCAGUAGCUGGUCUGAGAGGAUGAUCAGCCACACUGGGACUGAGACACGGCCCAGACUCCUACGGGAGGCAGCAGUAGGGAAUCUUGCGCAAUGGGCGAAAGCCUGACGCAGCCAUGCCGCGUGAAUGAUGAAGGUCUUAGGAUUGUAAAAUUCUUUCAGCGGGGACGAUAAUGACGGUACCCGCAGAAGAAGCCCCGGCUAACUUCGUGCCAGCAGCCGCGGUAAUACGAAGGGGGCUAGCGUUGCUCGGAAUUACUGGGCGUAAAGGGCGCGUAGGCGGAUGUCUUANUCAGANGUGAAAGCCCAGGGCUCAACCCUGGAACUGCCUUUGAUACUGGACAUCUUGA
rnacentral:rRNA from 1 species